rnacentral:rRNA from 1 species
ACGGGGGGUGCAAGCGUUGUUCGGAAUUAUUGGGCGUAAAGAGCGUGUAGGCGGCUGGAUAAGUCAGAUGUGAAAUCCCUGGGCUUAACUCAGGAAGUGCAUUUGAAACUAUCCAGCUUGAGUAAGGGAGAGGAAAGUGGAAUUCCUGGUGUAGAAGUGAAAUUCGUAGAUAUCAGGAGGAACACCGGUGGCGAAGGCGACUUACUAGACCUAUACUGACGCUGAGACUCGAGAGCUUGGGUAGCAAACAG